rnacentral:rRNA from 1 species
CCUACGGGUGGCAGCAGUGGGGAAUAUUGGACAAUGGGGGCAACCCUGAUCCAGCCAUGCCGCGUGUGGGAAGAAGGCCCUCGGGUUGUAAAGCACUUUCAGUGAGGAAGAACGCCUGGUGGUUAAUACCCAUCAGGAAAGACAUCACUCACAGAAGAAGCACCGGCUAACUCCGUGCCAGCAGCCGCGGUAAUACGGAGGGUGCGAGCGUUAAUCGGAAUUACUGGGCGUAAAGCGCGCGUAGGUGGCUUGAUAAGCCGGUUGUGAAAGCCCCGGGCUCAACCUGGGAACGGCAUCCGGAACUGUCAAGCUAGAGUGCAGGAGAGGAAGGUAGAAUUCCCGGUGUAGCGGUGAAAUGCGUAGAGAUCGGGAGGAAUACCAGUGGCGAAGGCGGCCUUCUGGACUGACACUGACACUGAGGUGCGAAAGCGUGGGUAGCAAACAGGAUUAGAUACCCUAGUAGUC